rnacentral:rRNA from 1 species
AUACGGAGGGUGUGAGCGUUAAUCGGAAUUACUGGGCGUAAAGCGCUCGUAGGCGGCUUGUUAAGUCGGAUGUGAAAGCCCCGGGCUCAACCUGGGAACUGCAUUCGAUACUGGCAGGCUAGAGUAUAGUAGAGGCAAGUGGAAUUCCGGGUGUAGCGGUGAAAUGCGUAGAUAUCCGGAGGAACAUCAGUGGCGAAGGCGACUUGCUGGACUAAUACUGACGCUGAGGAGCGAAAGCGUGGGGAGCAAACGGGAUUAGAAACCCCGGUAGUCC